GAUGAACGCUGGCGGCGUGCCUAAUACAUGCAAGUCGAGCGAACAGACGAGGAGCUUGCUCCUUUGACGUUAGCGGCGGACGGGUGAGUAACACGUGGGUAACCUACCUAUAAGACUGGGAUAACUUCGGGAAACCGGAGCUAAUACCGGAAAAUAUUUCGAACCGCAUGGUUCGAUAGUGAAAGAUGGCUUUGCUAUCACUUAUAGAUGGACCUGCGCCGUAUUAGCUAGUUGGUAAGGUAACGGCUUACCAAGGCAACGAUACGUAGCCGACCUGAGAGGGUGAUCGGCCACACUGGAACUGAGACACGGUCCAGACUCCUACGGGAGGCAGCAGUAGGGAAUCUUCCGCAAUGGGCGAAAGCCUGACGGAGCAACGCCGCGUGAGUGAUGAAGGUCUUCGGAUCGUAAAACUCUGUUAUUAGGGAAGAACAAACGUGUAAGUAACUGUGCACGUCUUGACGGUACCUAAUCAGAAAGCCACGGCUAACUACGUGCCAGCAGCCGCGGUAAUACGUAAGUGGCAAGCGUUAUCCGGAAUUAUUGGGCGUAAAGCGCGCGUAGGCGGUUUUUUAGUCUGAUGUGAAAGCCCACGGGCUCACCGUGGAGGGUCAUUGGAAACUGGAAAACUUGAGUGCAUAAGAGGAAAGUGGAAUUCCAUGUGUAGCGGUGAAAUGCGCAGAGAUAUGGAGGAACACCAGUGGCGAAGGCGACUUUCUGGUCUGUAACUGACGCUGAUGUGCGAAAGCGUGGGGAUCAAACAGGAUUAGAUACCCUGGUAGUCCACGCCGUAAACGAUGAGUGCUAAGUGUUAGGGGGUUUCCGCCCCUUAGUGCUGCAGCUAACGCAUUAAGCACUCCGCCUGGAGAGUACGACCGCAAGGUUGAAACUCAAAGGAAUUGACGGGGACCCGCACAAGCGGUGGAGCAUGUGGUUUAAUUCGAAGCAACGCGAAGAACCUUACCAAAUCUUGACAUCCUUUGACCCUUCUAGAGAUAGAAGUUUCCCCUUCGGGGGACAAAGUGACAGGUGGUGCAUGGUUGUCGUCAGCUCGUGUCGUGAGAUGUUGGGUUAAGUCCCGCAACGAGCGCAACCCUUAAGCUUAGUUGCCAUCAUUAAGUUGGGCACUCUAAGUUGACUGCCGGUGACAAACCGGAGGAAGGUGGGGAUGACGUCAAAUCAUCAUGCCCCUUAUGAUUUGGGCUACACACGUGCUACAAUGGACAAUACAAAGGGCAGCGAAACCGCGAGGUCAAGCAAAUCCCAUAAAGUUGUUCUCAGUUCGGAUUGUAGUCUGCAACUCGACUACAUGAAGCUGGAAUCGCUAGUAAUCGUAGAUCAGCAUGCUACGGUGAAUACGUUCCCGGGUCU
rnacentral:rRNA from 1 species